rnacentral:rRNA from 1 species
AGUGAACGCUGGCGGUAGGCCUAACACAUGCAAGUCGAACGGCAGCACAGAGGAGCUUGCUCCUUGGGUGGCGAGUGGCGGACGGGUGAGGAAUACAUCGGAAUCUACUCUGUCGUGGGGGAUAACGUAGGGAAACUUACGCUAAUACCGCAUACGACCUACGGGUGAAAGCAGGGGAUCUUCGGACCUUGCGCGAUUGAAUGAGCCGAUGUCGGAUUAGCUAGUUGGCGGGGUAAAGGCCCACCAAGGCGACGAUCCGUAGCUGGUCUGAGAGGAUGAUCAGCCACACUGGAACUGAGACACGGUCCAGACUCCUACGGGAGGCAGCAGUGGGGAAUAUUGGACAAUGGGCGCAAGCCUGAUCCAGCCAUACCGCGUGGGUGAAGAAGGCCUUCGGGUUGUAAAGCCCUUUUUGUUGGGA